ACAUGGUAGGUGAGGUUACCAUAGGGAUACGGGUUGAUACCGCGGAGUAGUGGAGACACUAUGAGAAGGUUAGCAGUUUAUGUCGUAGUUAAGGCAUAAACUAAUUCAAUUACAAGCCCUAUGAUGCUAAAGCUUGAACAUGA
rnacentral:sRNA from 1 species